UACAGAGGUCCCAAGCGUUGUUCGGAUUCACUGGGCGUAAAGGGUGCGUAGGCGGUCGGGUAAGUCUGAUGUGAAAUCUCACAGCUUAACUGUGAAACUGCAUUGGAUACUAUCCGGCUCGAGGAAUGGAGGGGAGACUGGAAUACUUGGUGUAGCAGUGAAAUGCGUAGAUAUCAAGUGGAACACCAGUGGCGAAGGCGAGUCUCUGGACAUUUCCUGACGCUGAGGCACGGAAGCCAGGGGAGCAAACGGGG
rnacentral:rRNA from 1 species